rnacentral:rRNA from 1 species
CCUACGGGAGGCAGCAGUGAGGAAUAUUGGUCAAUGGCCGGAAGGCUGAACCAGCCAAGUCGCGUGAAGGAAGACGGCCCUAAGGAUUGUAAACCUCUUUUGUCAAGGGACAAAACCAGCCCCGUGUGCCUGAUCGAGGGUACCCGAAGAAAAAGCAUCGGCUAACUCCGUGCCAGCAGCCGCGGUAAUACGGAGGAUGCGAGCGUUAUCCGGAUUUAUUGGGGUUAAAGGGUGCGUAGGCGGACGGUCAAGUCAGCGGUAAAAUCGCGGGGCUCAACCCCGUCCGGCCGUUGAAACUGGCUGUCUUGAGUGGGCGAGAAGUAUGCGGAAUGCGUGGUGUAGCGGUGAAAUGCAUAGAUAUUACGCAGAACUCCGAUUGCGAAGGCAGCAUACCGGCGCCCAACUGACGCUGAGGCACGAAAGCGUGGGUAUCGAACAGGAUUAGAUACCCUAGUAGUC